AUGAAGAACGCAGCGAAAUGCGAUAAGUAAUGUGAAUUGCAGAAUUCAGUGAAUCAUCGAAUCUUUGAACGCACAUUGCGCCCAUUAGCAUUCUAGUGGGCAUGCCUGUUCGAGCGUCAUUUCAACCCUUAAGCCCUGUUGCUUAGCGUUGGGAGCCUACAGUACUGUAGCUCCCCAAAGUUAGUGGCGGAGUCGGUUUCACACUCUAGACGUAGUAAUUUUUUCUCGUCUGUAGUUGAGCCGGUCCCCUGCCGUAAAACACCCAAUUUAUCAAGGUUGACCUCGGAUCAGGUAGGAAUACCCGCUGAACUUAAGAAUAUCAAUAAGCGGAGGA
rnacentral:misc_RNA from 1 species